CCUACAGGAAUAAAUAUGCGUGCCUUGUUUUGGAACCUUCGUGGCUUCGGCCACGACGGUCGCCGCUGACAGUUGAUCGAAUAUAUGAGAGAGGAGCCCAUUGAUGUUGUGGCGAUCCAAGAGACGAUGAGGGUCGAGUUCUCUCUUGCAGAGCUCGAACGUCUAAGUCGACAUUUGUUCGCAUGUCACUGGUUGCCAUCUGGUGGAGUGGCGGGUUACUCCGGUGGCAUCCUUCUCGGAGUGAAGGAUGCCAUCUUUGAGGUGGGCUCCAUGGAUCGAGGGGAAUUCUUUGUGAGUAUGGAAGUGUGGGAAAGGGCAGUCAACUUCAAAUGGGAAGUGAUUGUGGUCUACGGCCCGGCCAAUCACGGAUGA
rnacentral:rRNA from 1 species